rnacentral:tRNA from 1 species
UAGGGGUAUGGUUCAAUGGCAGAACAGAGGUCUCCAAAACCUUUGAUGAGAGUUCGAUUCUUUCUACCCCUGU